GAUGAACGCUGGCGGCGUGCUUAACACAUGCAAGUCGAACGAAACACCUUAUUUGAUUUUCUUCGGAACUGAAGAUUUGGUGAUUGAGUGGCGGACGGGUGAGUAACGCGUGGGUAACCUGCCCUGUACAGGGGGAUAACAGUCAGAAAUGACUGCUAAUACCGCAUAAGACCACAGCACCGCAUGGUGCAGGGGUAAAAACUCCGGUGGUACAGGAUGGACCCGCGUCUGAUUAGCUGGUUGGUGAGGUAACGGCUCACCAAGGCGACGAUCAGUAGCCGGCUUGAGAGAGUGAACGGCCACAUUGGGACUGAGACACGGCCCAAACUCCUACGGGAGGCAGCAGUGGGGAAUAUUGCACAAUGGGGGAAACCCUGAUGCAGCGACGCCGCGUGAGUGAAGAAGUAUUUCGGGAUGUAAAGCUCUAUCAGCAGGGAAGAAAAUGACGGUACCUGACUAAGAAGCCCCGGCUAACUACGUG
rnacentral:rRNA from 1 species